rnacentral:rRNA from 1 species
CCUACGGGAGGCAGCAGUGGGGGAUAUUGCACAAUGGGGGGAACCCUGAUGCAGCGACGCCGCGUGGGUGAAGGAGUGCUUCGGCAUGUAAAGCCCUAUCGGCAGGGAAGAAGCAAGACGGUACCUGACUAAGAAGCCCCGGCUAACUACGUGCCAGCAGCCGCGGUAAUACUGAGGGGGCGAGCGUUAUCCGGAUUCACUGGGUGUACAGGGAGCGUAGACGGCCUGGCAAGCCAGGGGUGAAAGCCCGGGGCCCAAACCCGGGACUGCCCUUGGAACUGUGCGGCGAGAGUGGGUGAGGGGCAGGCGGAAUGCCUGGUGUAGCGGGGAAAUGCGUAGAUAUCAGGAGGAACACCGGCGGCGAAGGCGGC